rnacentral:rRNA from 1 species
UGAGGAAUUUUGCGCAAUGGCCGCAAGGCUGACGCAGCAACGCCGCGUGGGUGAAGAAGGCCUUCGGGUCGUAAAGCCCUGUCAGGUGGGAAGAAUAUCCCUGUGGUGAAUAAUCAGGGGGACUGACGGUACCACCAGAGGAAGCACCGGCUAACUCCGUGCCAGCAGCCGCGGUAAUACGGAGGGUGCAAGCGUUAUUCGGAAUUACUGGGCGUAAAGCGCGUGCAGGCGGGCGAGCAAGUCUGAUGUGAAAGCCCCGGGCUUAACCUGGGAAGUGCAUUGGAAACGGUUCGUCUUGAGUUCUGGAGAGGAUGGGGGAAUUCCCGGUGUAGAGGUGAAAUUCGUAGAGAUCGGGAGGAAUACCAGUGGCGAAGGCGCCCAUCUGGACAGUAACUGACGCUGAGACGCGAAAGCGUGGGGAGCAAACAGG